GUAAAGGUUUCGACAGGGGCCUUGCAGCUGGAGAAGCUAUCCGCACGUCAUGCGUUAAAUGACAACCUAAAUAUAUACGCUGAAGAUAAUACUCAGUUAGCAUUCGCAGCGUAAGCUGUGGAUGACGUCGCCCUAGGGCGGCUUGUCCCGCCUGUCGCACUCACACGGCAGGGCCGGGGCAUCAUGAUUGUGAGAAACGACGUGUGCAAAGCUUUGAGCGCAUGGGCGUAACAUGAAGCUACCGAGCCUUAUGGAUUGUUCGUUUUCCAUGAGGGGAGGGAACGGGAAGCUUCGGGCUUCCGGAAAAAUGAACUAUGAUAGUAGAAGGACAGGGAAUGGGCUUUUGGACACGGGUUCGACUCCCGUCUAGUCCACU
rnacentral:tmRNA from 1 species